GCAGGCGGUAAUACAGAGACCUCCAAGCGGUUAUCCGGAUUUAUUGGGCGUAAAGGGUGGGUAGGUGGAUAUGGUAGUCAGGUGUUAAAUCAUCGAGCUCAACUCGGUGGCUGCACCUGAAACGCCAUACCUAGAGAUAGGCAGAGGCCAACGGAACUCAUGGUGUAGUAGUGAAAUGCGUUGAUAUCAUGGGGAACACCAAAGGCGAAGGCAGUUGGCUGGGCCUUAUCUGACACUGAGCCACGAAAGCGUGGGUAGCGAAGGGGAUUAGAUACCCCCGUAGUCCACGCCCUAAACGAUGCACACUAGUCAUUGGAAGUUUCGACCCUUUCAGUGUCGUAGCUAACGCGUUAAGUGUGCCGCCUGGGAAGUACGAUCGCAAGAUUAAAACUCAAAGGGAUAGACGGGGAUCCGCACAAGCGGUGGAGCAUGUGGUUUAAUUCGACAAUAAGCGAGGAACCUUACCAAGGUUAGAAAUCCUGCUGCAUAUUCUAAGAAACUAGAAUAGCCUUCGAGGGUGCAGGACAGGUGUUGCAUGGUUGUCGUCAGCUCGUGCUGUAAAGUGUUCCAUUAAGUUGGGUAACGAGCGCAACCCCUACUGCGUGUUACAAGUGUCACGCGGGACUGCCCAGCACUAAGUGCAUUUUUUUAAAAAGUGCGUUUGGUGCUGGGAGGAAGGUGGGGAUGACGUCAAAUCAGCAUGGCCCUAGACACCUUGGGCUACACACGUGCUACAAUGGCUGGUACAAAGGGUUGCCAAACCGUAAGGUGGAGCUAAUCCCAGAAAACCAGUCUCAGUUCGGAUUGAGGGCUGCAAUUUGCCCUCAUGAAGUUGGAAUCGCUAGUAAUCCCGAAUCAGCAAUGUCGGGGUGAAUACGUUCUCGGAUCUUGUACUCACCGCCCGUCACACCAAGGGAGCCGGUAGCACCCGAAGCACCUCUUUAUAGGGGUACCACGGUAAGAUCGGUAACAAGGGUGAAGUCGUAACAAGGUAGCCGA
rnacentral:rRNA from 1 species